rnacentral:rRNA from 1 species
AACGCGUGGGAACGUACCCUUCACUACGGAAUAGUCCCGGGAAACUGGGUUUAAUACCGUAUACGCCCUUCGGGGGAAAGAAUUUCGGUGAGGGAUCGGCCCGCGUUAGAUUAGUUAGUUGGUGGGGUAAUGGCCUACCAAGACUACGAUCUAUAGCUGGUUUGAGAGGAUGAUCAGCAACACUGGGACUGAGACACGGCCCAGACUCCUACGGGAGGCAGCAGUGGGGAAUCUUAGACAAUGGGGGCAACCCUGAUCUAGCGAUGCCGCGUGAGUGAUGAAGGCCUUAGGGUCGUAAAGCUCUUUCGCCUGUGAUGAUAAUGACAGUAGCAGGUAAAGAAACCCCGGCUAACUCCGUGCCAGCAGCCGCGGUAAUACGGAGGGGGUUAGCGUUGUUCGGAAUUACUGGGCGUAAAGCGCACGUAGGCGGAUUAGUCAGUCAGAGGUGAAAUCCCAGGGCUCAACCCUGGAACUGCCUUUGAUACUGCUAGUCUUGAGUUCGAGAGAGGUAAGUGGAAUUCCGAGUGUAGAGGU